GGCAAUUAAGAGGUACAAACUCCCAGUUACAAAGUAGAAGAGUUACAGGUAUGAAAUGUACAGUGUGGGGAAUAUGAGGUAAUGUCUUUGGUGACAGGUGGUAACUGGACUCGUCAUGGCGAUCAUUUUGUAAAAGAAAAUGAACAGAAAGAAAUGACUCGAACCUGAGGUCCCCGCAUGGGACCAGGCUAGGCCCUGUGGACUGAGGUCAGCCACGCCGGAAGCUGAGGCGGGCCUGCAGUGGGACCAGCCGGGACCUGGCGGUGGUCGGGGGGCGGGGUGCUUGGAGGGGCUGCAGGACCCAGGAGGGGCAGUCGAGCCAACAAGGGGGAGGGGGGGAGGAGGGGAUGUCUUUCUCACUGCUGAAGAAUCCACACUUUCAGUGGUGAUGCCUCACACCACCUGCCAACCCAGGCAGAGCUGUGCUUGGUGUGGGCGCCUCCUGCCCGCUCCUUCAGGGGCUGUAGGAUUCCCAGCCACGCUUGUGAAUGUGAAUCCCAUAACCUGCUUUCUUUCAGGCCUUCAGGCCAAGCCCCACGGGCGCUGAGGCUGGGAUCCCUCACCCAAGAGGCACAGGUGCCACCCACCCCCAUACCUGCAGAAUGACCCAGUGUCCCUUCUCCACAGCCAUGUCCAGGGCAUUCUCCGCCACCACCUCUUGUCCCUGACCCAGGGACACGUUAUGGAGUUUCCCGUUGUCUAUGGUAAAUCCCAAUUUUUUCCCUAAAGGAAAGGAAAACAGGAAAAGCAUGGGGAUGGCUGAAUGACAAAAAUGGAGCUUCUGUGAUCCACAGCUGGGAAUUCCACACCCUACCCCUUUUAAAAUUGUGGUAAAAUACACAUAACAUCAAAUGUACCACUUUAAAAGCCAUCUUAAAGUGUACAAUUUAGGGACAUUUAAUAAUUCAGUGUCAUGCGACUGCUUAUCUGGUUCCAGGACAUUUUUAUCGCCCCAGAAGGAAACCCUGUACCCAUUAAACAGUCAUUCUGCAUCCUGUUCCCGCCCCAGCCCCUGGCAACCACUAAUCUGCCUUCUGCCUCUACGGAUUCCCCAGUUCUGGACGUUUCAGAUACAAGGAAUCGUAUACCGUGGAGCCUUUUGUGUCUAGCUUCCUGCCUUCGGCACAGUGUUUUCUCGUUCCGUCUACGGUGUAGCCUGUGUCAGUGCUUCGUUCUCUUUUAUGAUUUACCACUUUGCCAUCAGCCAUUCAUCAGUGAUGGACGUGUGGGUUGGAUCUACCUUUUGGCCGUCGUGAGGGGACCUGUUUGUUUGGACACCUGUUCCCGGCUCCGUUGGGGACGUCCCCAGGAGUGGAAUUGCCGGGACAUGUGGUGACUCGAUGUGUGACUUAGGGAGGGACCACCUGCUCACAUUCCCACCAGCAAUGCACAGGGCCCCGUCUCCCAUCCCCUCCCGACACCUGUCACCUCCGUGUGUCUGAUACCUGCCCUGCUAGUGGGUGUGAAGGGCCGUCUCACUGUGGUUUGGACUCGCUUCUCCCCAGACCCGGCCGCACUUACCCAGGGCCUCCACGUCCUUCAGGGGGUCAGCGCCCGGGGAGAGGAUGAAGAAGAUGGGGGUUGAGGGGCUGCUCUCCUCGUAGGACUUGGAGAACUCAACGCUCCGGCCCUCUGCGAACUUGCUGCCCAUCUUCUCCUCCACAAAGUUCCUGAGGGGGACACGCCUGGUCAGACCCGAGGCGAGGGACCGCUUUUCUGGGGGACUUUCUUAGGCAGAGAAGGGCCUCUAGCUGGAAAGUCGGUCUCUACAGGGGCCUCCUGCAGGCAGGGGGGGUGUGGAGGGGAGCGUGCGCGGUAUUUGGCGGUGUUCGCGCUGGGCACCCUUUGCGCCCGUCCACCUGUGCACAGACAGGUGAGAAGCUCUCAGCCAGCUGAUGCCACCCCCACUUUCAAAGGCGUGCAAGGUCAGCCGGGAGGGAACCCGGGCUGCAAGUGUUCCAGGUGACCACACCUCAGCGCUCCCAAGGAAGGGAUCAGUUUCUAGUGGCUUCCUGUUUCCCACACACACUUCCUAUCUGCUCUCCAGACCGGGGCAGCAACACGGAACAGAACCUAGAUCGGCCUCUGCGUCCUGAGGAUCUCCCCCGACGGGGGCUCUGAGGAGGAAGGACGCGUGCGUUAGAGUCGCUUUGGUGGCUGAGCUCACUGUAUCUGAAUGAACCACAGGAGCUAAACUUAUGUCCAGUGUGGUCUUUGAAAGAAGGACGAUGGCAGCCUCCCUGGGAGAGAACACACUUAUUCCCGAGGAGUCGGCAAUCUGAGCGCCCUGAGCAUCGUGAAGACCCGUGGGUGGACCUGUUCACAUAGAGGCUUCCCUCUGAGUCAACGGGGAGUCUGCGGGCGGGUGCCAGGUGGGCCUUCCCACUCCCGUGGGAGUGAUAGCUGUCAUUCGCUCCCCGGUCUGGCCUUUGCUGGCCUCUAUACAGACCCUGAGCCAGCGCUGACCACAGGCCGGUGGGAGGGCUCCUGCUCCAGGCCCCUGGUUGUGCUUGAUUCUGGCCUUUGGAAUUGACCCAGAAUGUCAGUGCUAGAGUCCUUGCCCGGGAAGGAAUUCUAGAAGGUACAGGUCCUGCCUGGGGCAGGAAUGUCACAAGCUCCCUGCUGCUCCUGACGUGGCCGGGCCACGUGGUCAUUCUCUGCGGCUGAAGUGAUGAUGGAGAGUAGAGGGCUCCUGGUUCCGGUCGGGCUCCGCUGCUCCUAGUGCUGUGUCCUGGGCACAGGGGUGCUAGAGCCGCCCCCAGCGGCUUGCAUGCUGGCAGGUGCUACAGACCCGGGCGGCUGUUCUGGGGAGCCCGUUACCAGCACCCCGCCCCGCCAUGGGCGAGUUACCUUCCCUGGGCCUGUGGACCCGGAGGAGGGGAGGUGCCCGGCUCGAGGAGUUGGCGGAGGGCGGAGUGAACCCAGGGUGCGGGGGGAAGGCUCUGAGCGCGCCUGGCACCCACGCUCUUGACGACUGUGUGUUAUUACUAUUCGCCGUGGACUUGGAGUUGAACUUCCUUGCUCUUGAGCUCCACCGCCCUGUUUGAUUUGGGAGGUGAAUCUGCUUUCCUCGCGACCACUGCAGAGCAUGACUUGGGUUCGCCUGGCGUUUGCGGCCGCCCACGCGGUUCCGAUGCGUUUUCUGCCGUGGUGACUCGGGUGGCUCUCAAGGGUGCUCUGGGGGCCGUGGGGCUGGACACCCACCCAUGCUCAGCUCACCCGCAGGCGGUGUCCCCCUGGAUGCUCAGUGCCCUUCGCCUGGGCCUUCCCCACACUGUGUCCGUGUCCGACCUUCCCGGGAUGCCUUCCUGCUUUCUCCCUGGACCAGCUCGACUCUCCCUCGUGACGUGAUUUCUUGCUUCACUCCGCCCACUCCCCUCCCGCACCCAGAACCCCUCGCAGUCCCUUUCCUCUUCAGUCCCGAGAAAACAAAGCAAAACAGAAACACGCGUCUGUGAACAACCCGUGGGUGUGAGUCAGGCCUCUGCUUUGUCAGACGUGGGCAUCUUUUGGGAAAUCUGGUGGCUUUCAGGCCACUAGGACAAACGGAAAACCAAGAUGCCCCCCUGAGACGGGGCCUGUUUCAAUCCCUCCCUCCCCCACGACGCCAUGGCCAAGACGCCCCUCUGAGAACGGGGCCUGUUUCAUUCCCUCCCUCCCCCACGAUGCCAUGGCCUGCCCGGGCCGGCCGUGCAGAUGUUACAGCUGUUGAUAUUCCUGAAGUCUUUCUGUGCUUUGGGGAGUGAAAGGAACGGGCGCUGAAACCCGAUGGUUAAGUUUCCAGUCCUGGAGGCGUUUCAGGUCCAGAGAGAUUGUUCACGAAAGCAGAAUGGUUCUCUUUGCAAACGAGCCGUAAAAAUAAAAGAUUUCCUCUAAAUCCAGCCACUGAGGCCAUGAAAGUCCUCGGGUGCUGAUGGCUCUGCCACUGCUUUCUCCCCACAGCAUCCUUAAAGGACCCCGCGUGGUCGUGGCCUUGGAGGUCAUUAGCGCCCAGGCUUUUUAAAAAAAAUAAAUUUAUUUAUUUA